AUUAGCUCAGCUGGUUAGAGCAUAGUGCUAAUGACACCAAGGUCACAGGUUUGAUCCCUGUAU
rnacentral:tRNA from 1 species